UACAGAGGGUGCAAGCGUUAAUCGGAAUUACUGGGCGUAAAGCGCGCGUAGGUGGUUUGUUAAGUUGGAUGUGAAAGCCCCGGGCUCAACCUGGGAACUGCAUCCAAAACUGGCAAGCUAGAGUACGGUAGAGGGUGGUGGAAUUUCCUGUGUAGCGGUGAAAUGCGUAGAUAUAGGAAGGAACACCAGUGGCGAAGGCGACUACCUGGACUGAUACUGACACUGAGGUGCGAAAGCGUGGGGAGCAAACAGG
rnacentral:rRNA from 1 species